AGAAAUUACCAAGAAAACACAGCCUAUCAAGACCCAAACCAAGAAAACAUCAACCAACAUGUUAAGUGUAGACCCAGUGCCCGGGCCAUCACAUUAUAACUUGGUCAGUGACAGUGAAGAUUCUAACUCAGAAAUUGUAGAAGAGGAGCUUUGUUGUGUUUGUGGCCUGUUUACACCUGAGGCACUUUCAAGAUGUACAUCUCUCAGUUUUGUCAAGUGGGUCCAAUGUGAUGGAUUUAGAAAUGGUUACCCAUGCAAACACUGGGUACAUUUGUCAUUCUGUACAAAAGUAAGGGUCAUAAGGAGGGGAGACAAAUUCCUGUGUUCCCACUGUGAUAAUGAAGAGUAGACAAAUUAACAAAACAUUUAUACACAGUUGUAACAGUUUAUUAUAGUUUAGUGUUUGAAAAGUUUGAACAAAUUUAUUCAAGUUGACAAUUUAAUUACAGUUAACUAUUUUCCAAGGGCAAUCACCCAAUAAACUUUUUUGACUUGCCUAAUUUGUACUGUUCCCGCGUGCUAUGACGUCAUCGAAUCAAAAGACAUGGUGUAAUGGCGGAGAUUGUUUAUUAUAGUGUGUGAAGUUUAAUAGGAUACUUUGAGUUGUGUGAGUGCAUAUGUGACAUAUAUGGGUGCAUUUAUGAGGGAAAAGAUUAUUUUAUCCAAAUAAUAUUCCUUGUUCCUUUGAUGGUUCAUUCCACUACAGCUGGUUCAUAUACCCUACAACAGCCAGGAAAUUGGUCUGUUUACUUUAAGAUCUCAAGAAAAUGUAACAUAUUUUGGAUGUGCUUUGAGGAAUCAGGAAGGCAAGUGUUUCCUCUUGUUUAUGAAAGCAACUCAGUUGGUUAAGGGGCAGACAACUUGUGAGCAUGGUACAUCACUACCUGUAUUGGUAUUCAGUUUUGACAAUGCUGCUAGCUAGAAUACAAAUAACAUCUUGCUGUGGAGAGUUUUACUAGGAUAUCACAGAUCGAUUGAAUAUUCAACAAUGAUCACAGACCAUGCAAAGUUUGAAUCUGACUUGCACUUUUGAAUUUAGAAGAAUCUGUGGAGGAGGGUGAAUGCUGAGACCUUUAAUAAUACAUGAUAUUGCUGACACAGUGUGUCAGUCAUCAAAGAAAUGUCAUAACAACACAGUUGGUCAACAAUGAUUUAAAUCCUGUCACAUUCUACCAGUGGAGAAAUAUCUUAUCACAAUAUUUUAAACUUUUGAAGAAGAUAACCAAGUAUUACCACUUUAUCAUGUCUGCAGAAACACCUGGAUUGUUAGUCUUAAAAGUGACAGUCCAGUUAACUUACUGAAAUCUACUCCCCCUUGCCAAACGAAUAUUAUUGACAUGGAAUGACACAAGCUUGACAAUUGUACCUGUACGAACUCAUAAGAGAAUAGUAUUUGUCUGAAAAGUCAAAGGAUUCUGUUUGUCCCAAACCACUUGAACUGAAAUUGGAUUGACCAGGAUUGUUCUGAGAACUGAAAAAAGGAAGUGAAUAUAAAAGAUAGAAAUUGUUGUUGAAUUCAAACGUUUUAAUAUACAACACUUUAGCCUGUUUUGCUGUUCAUAUAAAUGUGUUUAGCUGUUUAGGUUAAACAUCAAGUAAAGGUUGUAGUUUCAGUUACCUACAUUAAAGUAUUGGCUGGAAAUAAAUAUUUACUUUUCACCAGAGCUUGUAGCAGUGUAACCUUCAUCAAAAGUUAAGCUGUUGUGUUAAUUGUUGAGGUAUUUUUAGAAAAAGGAAUUUAGUAUGUAUGUUGCCAUGGUAACAUAAUUCAAAUUAUAUUUCAUUGAAAUUAUGGAUAAAUUUCAAUAAGUGAUCUACAGUAUAUAAUGUAAUGGUAAAAGAAUGUUCACUUUCUUCAGUAUUUCAGUUAUAACUAGCCAGUGAAAAACAGAUUAUGAGGAAAGGGAUGACUGAAAUAUUUAUUCUUACGAUAACUACUUUUGUUACAGAACAUGACUGUUUUAAAGUUUUUAUGUGAAAUUUUCAGAUUUCUUUCCUGAAUACUUGUACUUGCAAAUAAUUAACAUAUUAGAAAUACUUUUUAAAAUAAGCUCUUGUUUUUAAGUAUUAUUAUAGGAAAAGGGAAUUUAAAACAUAUGUUGCCAUGGUAACACAAUUUUCUUAGAAAAUAUGGAAAAAUUUUAAUUAGCUGUACUUUCUAGUAUUCUAGGUAAGCAUAAACAAUAAAAAAUCAAUAGUAAUAUAUGUUUCAUUUAUUUCAAAAUAGUAAUUUAUUACCAGCAGGUAAAAGGCAAGUUAUGAAGAAACAAUGACAGAAAUGUCUUAUUCUUAUAGUUAUUACUCAUGUUACAAACACUGUCAUAAAACAAAACAUUUUAAUUUUUUUAACAUGGAAUUUUGAGAUAAUAUUUUGAAUACAUACCACUUUAUAUUAUUCAAGUUAUCUGAAACACUUUUACAAAAGUAAUAUAAAGUAUUAUUGUAGAAGACAGAAUCAAAUGCAUAUGUUGCCAUGGUAACAUUUAAUAAUGUUUUUAUAGAAAAUGUGAAGGACUUUAGCCAGCUAGAUGUUUGCACUUUAAGUGAAUAUCUAAAUAUUCUUUGUAAAAGAAGAUUCAUUUAUUUAAAAAUAGCCAGUGAUUACCAAUAAGUGAAAACACAAACUGAAGAAACAACGACUGAAAUAGUUUAUUCUUGUGGUUAUUUCCCGUGUUACGAAAUCUGUCAUAAAACCAAACAUUUUAUAUCUUUUCACAUAAAAUUUUCAAAUUUUACUUUUGAAUACAUAAACCUCUAAAUAUUCAACUUAUAAGAAACAUUAUUUUAAAUUAAGCUUUUAUUUUUGAGUACUAUUGUAGAAAAAGCAAUUUUUUGCAUAUGUUGCCAUGGUCACGCAAUUUGAAUAAUGUUUUCAUAGAAAAUAUGAAAGAUUUAAAUUAGCUGUAUUUUUCUGUUUUAAGUAAGCAUCACAAAAAUAAAAUUUCAUAGUAAUAGAAGGUUCUUUUUUUCCAAGGUAGUCAUUUAUUACCAGCAUGUAAAAGUCAAGUUAUGAAGAAACAAUGACAAAUCUAUCUUAUUCUUGUGGUUUUUACCCAUGUUACAAAAACUGUCAUAAAACCAAACAUUCUUAAUAUUUUCAUGGGCAAUUUUCAGUUUAUUUUUGUAAAUACAUAUGCCUUAAAAUAUUUUGCUUUUUAAAAUCAUUAUUUCAAGCGAACAUGUUUCUUUUUUUAAGUUUUAUCAUAGAAAAGGGAUUUUAAUAUAUUUGUUGCCAUGGUAACACAAUUUUAGAAUUUUUUUUAUAGAAAUUGUUGUAGAUUUUAAUUGAUUAUCAUUUUGUGUGUUAAGAAGGGAUCUUACUUAUAUCAUGCAAUUGUAACAAAAGAUAUAUUUAUUUCAGAAUUGUUAGCCAUUACCAGUAUGUGAGAAAUAAACUAGAAAGAAAGGAUAA